AGGAGACGUGAAGGAGGCCCGGCGCCGCACGCAGAGCUCAUCUUCUACGGUUACCUUCCAGCGCCAGCUGGAUUAACUCAUUUACAGAAUUACAGCAUUACACGUCUGAAUAUCAGAAAAGGAAGGAGGCCAAAGCGUUGGAUUAUGGAACGCUGGAGUAUCGAUUCCUUGGCGAGAAACAUUAGCAGCGGGGGUUGAACAUUAAGCUGAAAAUGGAUCCCUAACUGGGAUGUGUGGAGGUGAGGGGUCACAGCUUUAUGGCGGAGCGGCCGGAGGUCGGGACCUGCGCUCUGUGGAAUUUGGGUGUCGCCAUGGCAAUCACGGCAGAGCAAGGGGAAUGACAGAUGCCAUGUGCCUUCCAGAUGUGAACAUACCUGACUCUUCGCACAUGACGGUCCACCAGGUUCACCUGCAAACAACAAAGGAUUUCUCCUCAGAGCUUCCACAUUCUGUGAACCAAAGGCAACAAACAAGGAAUUGAAAUAAAACUAUUGAGAAUUUGAGUCAGAAUGAAGAGUC